CCGAAUAUAGCUCAGCGGUAGAGCGGGAGACUGUAGUUAAUUGAUAUCUCUAGGUCCCUGGUUCAAAUCCGGGUGUUCGGA
rnacentral:tRNA from 1 species